rnacentral:rRNA from 1 species
GAUGAACGCUGGCUACAGGCUUAACACAUGCAAGUCGUGGGGAAACGGCAUUAUGUGCUUGCACAUUCUGGACGUCGACCGGCGCACGGGUGAGUAUCGCGUAUCCAACCUGCCCCUUACUUGGGGAUACCCCGUUGAAAGACGGCCUAAUACCCGAUGUGUUUCAUUGACGGCAUCCGAUAUGAAACAGAGGUUUUCCGGUAAGGGAUGGGGAUGCGUCUGAUUAGCUUGUUGGCGGGGCAACGGCCCACCAAGGCGACGAUCAGUAGGGGUUCUGAGAGGAAGGUCCCCCACAUUGGAACUGAGACACGGUCCAAACUCCUACGGGAGGCAGCAGUGAGGAAUAUUGGUCAAUGGACGCAAGUCUGAACCAGCCAAGUAGCGUGCAGGAUGACGGCCCUAUGGGUUGUAAACUGCUUUUAUGUGGGAAUAAAGUGGCGCACGUGUGCGCCAUUGCAUGUACCUCAUGAAUAAGGACCGGCUAAUUCCGUGCCAGCAGCCGCGGUAAUACGGAAGGUCCGGGCGUUAUCCGGAUUUAUUGGGUUUAAAGGGAGUGUAGGCGGUCUGUUAAGCGUGUUGUGAAAUUUAGGUGCUCAACAUUUAACUUGCAGCGCGAACUGUCAGACUUGAGUACACGCAGCGCAGGCGGAAUUCAUGGUGUAGCGGUGAAAUGCUUAGAUAUCAUGAGGAACUCCGAUCGCGAAGGCAGCCUGCGGGAGUGUUACUGACGCUUAAGCUCGAAGGUGCGGGUAUCGAACAGG